rnacentral:lncRNA from 1 species
GACAUAUGUUUUCAUUUCUCUUGGGUGCAUACUUGGAUAUUGUGUUUAUGACACCAUGAGAGAUUCCAGGAUGCCCAUGCCUUGGGUUACAGGCACAUGGAAACUUGCUUUUUUUUUUUUUUUUUUUUUUCAGAGCCAUCCCCAGUGCAGGACAUGCUAUUGACUUCCAUGAGACAAACACCUACUUGGAAAUCAGGUUUUUUCUGUACCUUUUGAAGGAGCAGGAAUUUCCCAGCAUUUCCUGGACAAAGACGGAGGCGAGGCACAGUGGAAACAUUUGGAAGCCCCCAGGAUAACGCGUGGAGCCUGAAGCAGCCUGGCCCAGCCUCUCAGGCCUAGAUGCGCCUCUGCAGAUGUCGGGGGCAGGUGGGUAUUUGCAUUCCAUUGAAACCUGUCUGUGCUUGUCAGAGGAUGGCCAGAAGCAGACCCAGGAGGAGCUUCGGAACUGCACGGGGCAGGUGCAGCCUGGGGGUGGCACGGACCACAGAACACAAGAGGCAUCCAGGAGUCAGAUGCAGCAGAUAGAGGCCGCGUGCCUCACCGCCUGUGAAAUGCAGGGAGAGGAGGAUGUUUAUGUCACUGAGCCCAUCGGGCACAGCAUGGAAGUAUGUGACAUCCAUGGUUGACACUAGGAAGACAGCACUUGAGUUAGGCCUAUGAAGGGUGGAUCAUGACCUUGGGCUUUUGUGCAAAGAUGACACUCCUAUGCGUGGCCGUGUCCUCAAAUGCAUUGACAUUUAGCAUAAUGUUUUUAAGGUCCACCUAUGUUGUAGCCUUUAAAAAAAUCCAGGUGUCCUCAGGAGGUGUGAGUCCAGGGAUACCGCAAACGAUGCUUGUUCACUACCAGAAUGGGACCCUGGGAGGAAGAAGGCGUACAAAGUGUGUGAGCUCUGGGAGGGA